rfam:Schistosoma mansoni, Puerto Rico, WGS project CABG01000000 data, contig: 0138
AUCUAACUGACGAGUCCAAAGUGGGACGAAACGCACGUCCUGGAU